rnacentral:rRNA from 1 species
GACGGAGGGGGCUAGCGUUGUUCGGAAUGACUGGGCGUAAAGGGCGCGUAGGCGGUUUUUUAAGUGAGGCGUGAAAGCCCUGGGCUUAACCCAGGAGGUGCGUUUCAUACCGAAAAGCUUGAGUGCGAGAGAGGAAAGUGGAAUUCCUAGUGUAGAGGUGAAAUUCGUAGAUAUUAGGAAGAACACCAGUGGCGAAGGCGACUUUCUGGCUCGCAACUGACGCUGAGGCGCGAAAGCGUGGGGAGCAAACAGG